rnacentral:rRNA from 1 species
GACGAACCGUGCGAACGUUGUUCGGAUUCACUGGGCUUAAAGGGCGCGUAGGCGGCUUGAUAAGUCGGGGGUGAAAGCCUGUGGCUCAACCACAGAAUUGCCUUCGAUACUGUCGAGCUUGAGACCGGAAGAGGUAAGUGGAACUGCGAGUGUAGAGGUGAAAUUCGUAGAUAUUCGCAAGAACACCAGUGGCGAAGGCGGCUCACUGGCCCCGAUACUGACGCUGAGGCACGAAAGCGUGGGGAGCAAAGCAGG